AUCUCCAGAGAUUUCCUCACAAUAGUCUGCCAGGCUCAUAUGGAACGCUGCAUUGCUAUGCUACUGAUAUGUUGGCAGUAGGUGGAGAGUGGUGGUUCUAUAUGCCUCUAUCUACAAGGAUGUCCCUAUAUUGGUUAACCUUUCUGAUCGGUUUCAUUUGGAUAAAGGCAUUGGAGAGUGCUAAGGGGACAUAUCUGGCCUAUAUUGGGCGCUACGCUCCAUUAACCAUAUCUUUUGUCUAUAAUUUAUUUACCUUUCCUAUAAAUAAGUUCUUUUAUUUAUUUCAGCUUGCUCAUCCUCAUGUAGCUUCAAUCCAUCUGUUAUAGGUCUCCAGCAAGCAACUUCGUGAUGAUUUGAUGACCAUGCUCAUUGC
rnacentral:misc_RNA from 1 species